UACGUAGGGUGCAAGCGUUAAUCGGAAUUACUGGGCGUAAAGCGUGCGCAGGCGGUUUUGUAAGUCUGUUGUGAAAUCCCCGGGCUUAACCUGGGAAUUGCAAUGGAGACUGCAAGGCUGGAGUCUGGCAGAGGGGGGUAGAAUUCCACGUGUAGCAGUGAAAUGCGUAGAGAUGUGGAGGAACGCCGAUGGCGACGGCAGCCCCCUGGGUCAAGACUGACGCUCAUGCACGAAAGCGUGGGGGGCAAACAGG
rnacentral:rRNA from 1 species